GCACCAGGCUACACGACCUUCACACACACGCUAGAACAUGGAAAAUAUCGCCGCGACAUUCGUUUAAAGGCCGUGUCUGUCAAUACCAAGUGAGAAGUCGUUGGGGAAACCGCACUUGAUCUGCUGUGAGCAGCUUGGCCAUGGCACUUAUGAGAGCUUCACUCAUCAUGCAGAAGCACAGGCAGACUGAUCUAUAGUGUCCUCAUCGCCUGAUCCACAUAAGUUGACAAAGCCGCGCAAGAGCACCAACAAUCUUGACUGGGAUAACAGAAUAACAAGGAUAUUGGCGUUGUGUCUCCCGAGCAGGGACUACUGGAAUCUGAUAAAAGAACACGGAAUGGGAACAGCCUGACCUUGAGUGUAACAAGAUAGUGAAAACGAAUGAGUUUGACUAAAAUAUGACGUCUAAAAAGGGCAUGUUAGUAUGUGUGACCUUGACCUUCUGUUGUAGUACCUACUUCCUGUACGCCUAUAUGACACGAGACUUACUAUCGAGCUGUAUCGGAAAGGAAAGGCACGGUUAUACCCCACAGUGGAACAGGAACCGUAAGGAUUUGAAUUUCCAUCGAGCCAGGUCGUUAUUUUUUGAAAGGAUAUCAGAAGAAGAAAAGAAUAAAUUUAGGGAUCUAAUAAAAAUAUUUAGUGAAAGGGUGUCGAAAAAUGUUACAUAUUUCCUGUACGCGGGGGCGCUUCUCGGAUCCUACUCCCACCAUGGGCUGAUUCCUUGGGACGACGACAUGGACAUCAUCGUCAACAACAACGACAGGGCGGCACUACUGAAAACACUGCAGUCUCUUCCACCAGAAUAUGAGCAUUACACUGGUUGGAACAAUACAUGGAAGUUCUAUCAUAAAGACUCACCCAAGGCGGCGAAAAAACCAUGGAAUUGGCCAUUCGUUGACAUAUUCUUCUAUGUGGAAUAUCCCACAUACAUUCAAGAUGCUAGAGAAGCCAAAAAGAAAUUUAACAAAAAUAUAGUGUUUCCUCUGACCAUGAGACCAUUCAUGGGAAUGAUGCUUCCAGCACCUAUGAAGACACGAGAGUUCUUGCAAGUAACAUAUAACAUCGACAUGUGUGUUUCUAACUCGUAUGACCACAGGAUGGAGAUGGAUGUUCCUUCUUAUUGUAGAGCAAGGCUCCCUUGUCAUCUGCUCCAAGACCGAUUUCCAUUUGUAGUGAGAAAAACUUCGGAAAACAAGACCCUUGAAACGUUGGAAGAUAGAUACCAUAACAUCUUUAUCAAGGACGUUUAUUCACAAGGAAGUGGGUGAACUAUACGUGUUGAUGUUAAUGAAUGUUUUACUGUUUGUCCACUCAGUCGUGUAUAUUGUAUUCCUUUCGGGUUCGAUGCUUCCAGACAUAUAUGUGUCCUUCACACCUCAUUUCUACGCCUAUGGAUACGGGAUUAGCUUGCCUUAUGGGUAGGGAAUUUGUUCGAGAACUAUGGUUAUUGUUGCAGUGUUUUGUUGACUUUUUGUUUUGUUUGGGCGCAUUGUGUCAACAUGUAAUGAUUGUAAACAUCAUGAUCAUCAAAGAUUGUAUCAAGGAGGGAAUGAAUCGUUUUAGAUGUUUACAUUGUUGCAGUCUUGUAAAUGAUCCCACAGUGAAAACAAGCUGAUCGGUUUUCAUACAUUACUGAAAGCAUUCAUCAUCGUCACGUGUACAAAUCAACAUGCACACAAGACUUGUAACUAGUAAUCGUCUACAUAACCACAGUGUUUUAGGUCAGUAUUCAACGGAUCUGUAAUUUCAGAUAUAUUGCCAUGGUGCUUUUAUCAUGAUUUCGUUUAAACAUGUGUCACAUGCUACCGUCGCGUUACUGUCAAAUCGUUGUUAUAGUAUCAGCAUGGCGACUGUGAUAAUCUUUGUUUACUGGGUCGGUCAGACCAUUUGCCUUCUUUGCCAUGUACAAUCAGUUGUACAAAGGCAGUCAACCAUGAUGAUAACACGUGUUCCAGAGCGUCUUUCAGCAUCCCUCUUGCGCCUCUGUCUCAGAGUCAAGUCAGGCUCUUGACUGAAUGCAGACGCGCCGCUGGUGUUAGACCUAAUAUCUUUACAUACGUCGUACAUGCUAACGUAUAGUUUUUUAUGGCAUGUUCUUCAUCAUGUCGAGUUAACAAGCUAGGAGGUUCGUUAUGCAUGGAAUUCAAAUCCCGAAACAGACACUGAAUUUUGUUGCAUGUCGGAGCAAAAUCGCAACAAGUCUCGUUAUCUGUAGGAGAUCAGGUCCCAUUGCAACCUGAUAAAAAUCUCAUAUGUGGGGAUAGGUAAUAAUACAACCUCGUUAACCUUUAAUGAUAGGAGUCCCGUCGUUAACAAGCUGGGAGGUUCGUUAUGCAUGGAAUUUAAAUUCCGAAAA